GUGCUUUUUAUGGUCAUCUGUAAGGUUUGUGGGCCAAGCUGGGGUGCAAGCUGAGAGGGUAUGGGGCUUCCUCUCUUUGGGAACACAUCUUCAGGAUGGGAGAGCCUGGCAGUUUCCCAUAGGUGCGUCUGUAUUUAUUGCAAGUACUGAGGCAGAGCAUCAAAGGGAGAUGUCAGGUAACUCAGACCCUUCAUUUCUCACAAAAAACCCAAAACUGUCCUUCAGUUGUACCCAUUGCCUUUUUAUUUUACAUUUGUCAGGAGUCAUGAACCUAACCAAAAAAAUCAAAAAGGCAAUACAAGAGUAUUAAACAUUUGAAAGCGUUUUGAAUUUGUGUGCUAUGGCAUAGCUAAAAAGGAGUUUUAUCAACAUCCAAAUAAGCAGAAAGUGCUCCCAGAUUUAGGUGUAGUUGGAUGGAAAACUGAACACACUUGAUGUGAUUUCAAAAUGGAGUUUUCUGUCCAUAGAGACAACUUGUCCCAGAAUGAUUCCAGAAAGUGACCGUGAGGGAGGAUGUAGCAGACAGGGAAGCGAUUCUUAAAGGAGAGGGAAGCCCAGGUGGCAAACAUGGCCUUCCUUCAUCUGCAAGAAAAGAGUGUGAUUGGGUUGUUAAAUUUGCAUGUGAAUAUGCCUCGCAUGUAAAUACCUUUUUAUAAUGACAAUAUGCGGGGGCAAGGCUUGUUAAAUUGAAGUUCAUUUCUAUGGAAAGUCAGGAACCUUCUGAGGAGGCUUCUUCGGAUACCUUCCAAGCCUGUGAUCACACAGUGUGAAAAUAAUAGCCGUUGAUGGAGAAACAGUGGAUUUAAUGACAGGCAACUUUAUGUCUCUGUUGUCCUUAGCAAAGGCAGUGGUUUUCUCUUUCCUGUCCAAAGGAAGCCAGGGCAGGGCUUUGCAUUGACUCAGGCCCACUGAGGUGAGCAGGGCGCUCUUCACCGAACACAGCAGGGAAACUACCAGGGAGGCAAAAGCCUGCCCUUCACAAAAGUGAUGCCCUAUUUUACACGUGUAUGCUUAAAACACUCAUUAACUGAACUCUGUGGGGAGCUUGGACAGAUAAACAGAACAAUCUGAUCUGUACUUUCAGGCAGGGAAACAAGAGGCUUAAUUUUCUUUUUUCUGUUUGUUCAGUUUUAAAGUGAAAUUAUUUUUUUCCUCAAACUGCUAUAAAACCUAAGUUGAAGGCAUUUUUAAAAAAUAUAUCUGUUAUUGGAUUUGGUAUACAAUUCUGCUUACUCUAUAAAGAGUAAAGAAACAUAAAGAAUCUAAAGAAAUUUAAAGAGAAAAGGACCGCCUUUGUGAAAGACAGCACAGACAUAAAAUUGCCUGUCAUCAAAGCCGCGGAGUUUUCAUCCGCGGCCAUUUUUUCACAUUACAGAAUCACAGGCUUGGAAGGUAUCUGAAGUAGUUUCCUCAGAAAGUCCCUGACAUUCCCUAGAAAUUAACUCCUUCAAUUGUGCAAUUUAUAUUUGCAUAAAAAUUUCUUCAGCCAUUCAAUUUGCAAAAUAUAUAAAUCUGUCAACUAUAAAAUAUCUCUUAAGCAUGUUCUUUUUGGGUAUUUGAACCUGUGAUGGAUACAUGAUUUUAUGUCUGAGUACAAAUCCAUCAUUCCAGUAUUAAUCUUCAGCUUUAAUUAUUCAACUGUAGAAGUCUGAUAAUGAUUUCUCUGAGGAAGAUUUAAAUGUGAAUAGUCCAUCUUUAAUUAUAUAAUAUUUCUUCAAAAUAAUUCAAUUCACGUGACUGGCAUCUCCCCAUCCAGUUUUAGCCGCAUACCAGUGAUGCACAUUUACUCCCAAGAGUUAACAGCAUGGCCCUUGGCGGGAAAUACGGAGCCACCGUCAGGGCUUGGUGUGGCUCGAUGGUGGUAUCCAGAAGUUGCAAGGAUGUGGCUGAGCCCAGCUCCCGGCCACAGGUGGGCAUUCCUGAGCCCGGGGAGCCCCCAGACGGUGCAAGGUGUUGGGGAGUCGGCGAGCUGAAGCCACUCCCCUUGCCAACUGUGGCUCCAGGUCAGGCCCCACGCCCCACAGAGAUGGGCAGAGCUGGGCUCUUCAUGAUGGUGUGAAUGGAAAAUACAUUUCAGUACCCCAAAGCCACUCACUAAAGGUAAGCCAAGCUGGACACUGCGCCAGGCAAACUGCCUCCCAUUUUAUUUUAUUUCUAAAUAAGAUAGCUACAAAGAUUUUUAAAACCCUGCAUACCUCUCACGAUCUGUCCACAAGGAAACUCCUUGUGGAAUUUCCCCUCCCCGAGUCAAGUCGUCCAGACAGAACCAGUGUUCACCUUACACAUAUUGAUUGAGGUCUCAUGUGUCCCUAAAACGUUAAAACCAAGAUGUGCCCCAGCUGCCUUGGGCACCUGUUCUCAGGACACCCUGCGGCUGUCACCGGCCUGACCUUAACCUUGGCAAAGCACCCUUGAGACCUGUCUCUGAUAUUUGGGGUUCACUAUGGGAAUUUGGGGGACAGCCCCAGGUCCUUAAGAAAAGCAGUUUUGGGCCCAACGCAGAGGCCGAGAGGAUUCACUUCGCUUGGGCAGAAAGCAUUUACAGGCAGGGGUGCUCUGGGGGUCUGGGGGACCCAGGUCAGAUGACCCUGCUGGGAUUUAGUGGAGUUGCGGAGCCUAGACCACCCUGGCUGGGCCCAGGGAGCUUGCCCUGCAAUGGUGAGAGUAUGUCACCUAUGAUGUCUCUCACAAAGGGGUCACCACAGGCUGUGAUUAGGGGUUUUCUGAGGGCUCUGGGUUUGGCCAUGGACUGGAAUCACCGCACAGGAGGCACCAGGAGCGGCUAUCCCAGGACUCUCUCUCUGCUGCCUUUGAUCUGGGAGAGGGGCUCACAGGGAUGUGGAGGGAGGGCGUGACCAGCUGGGCUACCAGGACCUUUGGUCCCCCUCGUGCCCUGAGGCCGGUGGCUGGGUUUCUCAGAAACUCCCAGAGCUCCCACGUGGGUGAGCCUUGAGAGCGAAGCUCAGAGCCUCCACCACCCCCUCACCCACUUCUCCCCAUGCCCUCAGAACCCAGAUUCCUCCACUAAAACCCGGUGACUCCUGUCAUGUUUGCAGUGCCUCUGUUUACCCAGAAAACCCAGAGUGAUGCGGACAGAACAGAAACAGCGAAGUCAAUUUUCACUGCAGCGUGGCCGUGGUCUGAAUGUCUGUCCACUCCAAAGCUCCUGUAGAAACUUCAUCCCCAGCACAGCAGCAUUGAGGGGGGACUUUAAGAGGCGAUUGCAUCCUGGGGGCUCAUGAACGGAUUCCUUUAUCCAUAGACUCGUGGACUAACGGGCUGUUGGGGUAUGGGACUGGUGGCUUUACAGGAAGAGGAAGUGAGGGCGCGCUUAGCACUCCCCGUCACCGUGCGAUUCCCUAGCGUGAGAGGAGGAAGACAGCGCCAGAAUGUCCAUUGCAGGCAAAAUGUCAGGAGCAUUCCGGCAGAGACAGGGAUGGUCUCAGAGCGCAGGGGCUGCUGAAAGGAAGGACCUCACACUGGGAGGCUCCUGGCAGCAGAAAUGUGUCUCCACAGUCCCAGAGGUCACGUGUCUCAGGCCGCGCUGCCUCUGGAGGCUACAGGGGAGGACCCUUCCCUCCUCAUCCACCUUCCAUGGCCCUUACGCCCCUGGCCUUGUGGCUGCCUCACUCCACGUCUGCCGUCUCCACAUGGCUUCUCCUCUCUGUGUGUCUCGGAGUCAAACCCCCCUGAUGUUUUAACACCUGUCGGUGGAUUUAGGGCACAUAGUCCAGGACACAGUCAUCUCAAAAUCCUCCACUGGAUUCUACCUGCAAAGAUCCUUUUUCUGAAGAAUUUCAUGCUCCCAGGUUCUGGGGGCCAUGCAGAACAGCAGGACCCAGGCUGAGAUGUCUUCAGUGUGUCGGCUGGAGGUGGAGGUCAGAAGAGAAACCGGAUACUGGCAGAGUCCUGGGGGUCCUCCUCCAGACGCCAUCACCUUCAGAGGAGAGCAGUGACUUCGAGUGGGGAGCCCUGGCAGGCCCCAGCCCAACCUGGGUGUGCCAGCCUCACAAUGGCCUGGGCAUGCCAGCCUCGCCGUGGCCUGGGCAUCUGUGGCUGCACCAAGAGAGCACCACACACCCCUGCCACGGCCUCUCAAACAGCAGGUGCUUUUGGCUCUGGCGCUGAGGACACCUCCAUGAGAAAACCCUGUUCUGUCUGACACUCUGUGUGCAGGAAGACAAGGUGAGUCUGAGGGGACCCAGGUCCAAAGCUACGUGCCGUGUGUGACCCUGGAACGGAUCCCGGAGUAUCAAGGAAAAGUGCCAUUGCCCAGACAGUUGCGGGACGCAAAUGGGUCUGUGGCUUUGGCUCAGGAACAACCUGCUGAGGCCAGACACCUGGGGACUUGAUUCUUACAAUCUGAACACAAUUUUCCUGGACCAAGAGUUUGUAUUUAUUCUUCUGCAGCCUUAAAUAUUGAGAAGAGAACCUUAGAAAUAGAAAGACAGAAACGUAUAAAUGUACACGGUUCGCUGUCUCCCCAUACUGUUCCUAACCUGAAAGUCGCAGUCCAUCACCUCCUGAAAUCCUAUCCAUCUGCAGAGGUUUGUUUCAAAUCAAAUUUUUUCAUGGGAACAAUUGCUA